rnacentral:rRNA from 1 species
UGGGGAAUAUUGGACAAUGGGCGCAAGCCUGAUCCAGCCAUGCCGCGUGAGUGAUGAAGGCCUUAGGGUUGUAAAGCUCUUUCGCCGACGAAGAUAAUGACGGUAGUCGGGAAGAAGCCCCGGCUAACUUCGUGCCAGCAGCCGCGGUAAUACGAAGGGGGGCCUAGCGUUGUUCGGAAAUCACUGGGCGUAAAGCGCACGUAGGCGGAUUGUUAAGUCAGGGGUGAAAGCCUGGAGCUCAACUCCAGAACUGCCCUUGAUACUGGCAAUCUCGAGUCCGGAAGAGGUAAGUGGAACUGCGAGUGUAGAGGUGAAAUUCGUAGAUAUUCGCAAGAACACCAGUGGCGAAGGCGGCUUACUGGUCCGGUACUGACGCUGAGGUGCGAAAGCGUGGGGAGCAAACAGGAUUUAGAUACCCCUGGUAGUCCACGCCGUAAACGAUGGAGGCUAGCCGUUGGCGAGCAUGCUCGUCAGUGGCGCAGCUAACGCAUUAAGCCUCCCGCCCUGGGGGAGUACGGUCGCAA